rnacentral:lncRNA from 1 species
GGCAGGUUUGGCUCUGCCGGGUGCAAAUAGGAGUGCACCUUCCUGGGGUAUGAAUGAGAGUGGGGUCUUCCUGGAUCCCCAACUAGGACCUCCUCGCCUCGAGCUCAAGCCCACAGGGGCCCAGGAAGAGGCAGAGAAAUAAGUCAUCAUUUUGAAGACACUUGUAGUAUCCACUAUCAUCCAGCAGCAGUAAUGGAAGUCCUCGGUCCCCC